UUUUCCCUUAGUAAGACGUUGUGAUCCAUUAGGAAUAAAUCAUCCCUGGUUGGUGAUUGUUGGGCUACCAAUAGUCUGGCAUUGAAGUUCACUGUGACAAAUAAUACAGUCUUUACGGCUGUGUAUAUUGUCUAAUGAGCAUGCCAUGUUCUGGUGUAGCUGCCUGAUGGGUUUUAAAGGCCAUAUCAAUGAUGCUUGCAUCAUCCAUUCUCGGAUGGAAUUAAGGAUAUGUGCCCGAUCAACAACGGUUUCAUUUGGGAUACCUUUGGGACCCGUCUUGAAACACGGACCAAGGAGUCUAUCUAGUAUGCGAGUAAAUGGGAUUCAUAGAAACCUAUUUGCAUAAAUAACUUGACUGUUUUAUGGGAUUACGAGCACAUACUUUUACGAGGUGUGCUCCUCCAUCCCGGGGUAUUUUCAUAACAUAUAUGGGCAACUAUAUAUAGAAAAUAUACCAUGAGCAUACUGGACAUGACCCGAAAGAUGGUGAACUAUGCCUGAUCAGGUUGAAGUCAGGGGAAACCCUGAUGGAGGACCGAAGCAAUUCUGACGUGCAAAUCG
rnacentral:rRNA from 1 species